rnacentral:lncRNA from 1 species
CCUUGGGCUGAGCUGCGCAGCGGGGUUUUGGCCAAAUUGGGCGAGGGCACAAAAUAACCACUUACCCCUUCUCACCGAGGAAGAACGGGAGAAAGGGUAUGGCACAGUCUCAAGGCUGGGUGAAAAGAUACUUCAAGGCCUUUUGUAAAGGCUUCUUUGUGGCGGUGCCCGUGGCAGUAACUUUCCUGGAUCAGGUUGCCUGCGUGGCAAGAGUGGAAGGAGCAUCAAUGCAGCCUUCUUUGAAUCCCGGGGGAAGCCAAUCGUCUGAUGUGGUGCUUUUGAACCACUGGAAAGUGAGGAAUUUUGAAGUACAACGUGGUGACAUUGUGUCAUUAGUGUAAGUGAAUCAGAGGCAUACUAUCUAUUUGUUUAUAAGAUUAUUUAUAAUUAUUUCACUCGUAAUUCACUGUUGGAACCCAUAUUGUCAAUGAUUAAAUUAAUGGGUCCAUUUAAAAUAUGGUGCUUUUUAAAAGAAAUCAAUUUUGAAAUGUAACAAUGCUAUAAAAAAAGGAUUUUUAUUUUAUCUUUAAAAUAUAUCAGUUGGUUGACGUACUUGGCUUUGGCAAAAUGUGUUUGGUGAAACGUUGAUUAGAAAUUUUUAUGUUGUAUUACCUGUAUUUGGUAUUUGGAUUAUUUUGAAAUUUUGCAUCUUGGAAGCAGCUUUCAUGUUACUCUCAUUAGCUUGGGCAGCUACCAAAUAUUUCUAGAAGAUGAUAGUUGUGACAUGAAAUUCAGUGACAUUUAUAUCUAUCAGCAAUUUGACUGAAAAAAAGGAAGUUUGGAAGGCUAGUAGACUGGAGGCUUUUGUUCAGGACCAAAAGGUGGCACUGUUUCUCUGUUAAAGUAUUAUGACUGAUUGGGAACAAAAUUUCAUUCCAAUCUUAGUGUAGAAAAGGAAUGUCAAAAUGUACAUAACUGACACAAUGAUAGUCCUAGUACAUGCUUGAAUGGUUUGUAUUUGAGGUUUGUUUGCUUAUUCUAAAAGCAAAUUCACACUGAGAAGGCUGCCACAGAACUUGCCUAAUUUCUGCUGGUUUCAGUUACCUAUAAAAAUGUUUUAAUAUGAUUUCCCGUGUUGCCAGUUAGUGGUAGCAAUUAAUGUAGCAGUUACUGUCAUUUGUUUUAAUGAUAGUAAAAUCCUACUGUUUGAUGAAGCCUUCCAACUUAUAUUUCUGAUUCUUGAAUUGGACGGAUUGUUUCUUGUUGGGUGAUAGUUUGCAGUUGUUUGGUAAAAGCAGAACGUUAUCUACUUGUUCAUACUUACCUUUGGCUAGUGCUUUGUGGAAAGAGAUAUUGUCAAGCCUGUUCCCCCAAGAUUUUUUUUUGGAAAACAUAUUAACUAAAUCUGGUUAGUAAUUAAUGGAAUAAAUAAAUUUGAGUGGAGUUUUGUAUGGCAGGCAUCCAAGGAUGGGAUUAAGUGCUUCUCAUGUUCUCGAGUGCUUUCUCUAAUAUUAGCCUACUCUUAGGAAUAUACUCUUAUUUUGUCAUUCAGGGCACUGUUUCUGCAGCCUCCUUAACAACCUUUUCAUGCUGGGUUAGCCUGUCGUGUGCUCAUUAUUCUUUUGCCUUUGGUUUGACAAGGUUACAUCCUCACUUAGUCGGUGAUGGAGAGGAUACCCACCCAAGUGAAAGAGGUCACACUAUAAGCAGACAAUUGUGCAGCAUUUUUUUCCCCCGUGGGAAACAUGCUGACUAUCUCUAACCCAGUGAAUCUGAAUAGGUAAUGGGGAAAAAAAGGCUCCUUGAAAUUCAGGGUGCAUGGAUCCAUAAAAGUACCCUAGCAUAUUAUUGGCGAUGUAAAAAAGGGAACACUAUUCUCUUUAUAAAUAUUAAAGUGAUAAUAAUUAAUAUAUAAAUUAACUUCAAAAGCUGUGUAUUCAAAUUGCAGUUGAUGUAGUAAAUUAUAGCUACUUUGGUUGAAGUGUAUUUUUCACGAGUUAAUUAUGUGCUAUUUCUCCAUCAUGUACAAAUAACACAAAUUUUCUUUCAUAAUGCUAGUUGCUAGCAGGAGCUGUUUACAUAUAAGGAUGCUUAGUGAUUGGUAUCGUAUUAUUGAACAACAAAUAAUCAUUAAGCAGUAAUUGUUGCUGUCUUUUGAUGAACAGGAAGUCAUACUACAAUCUUUAGCGUCAUGUAAUACAGUAGAAAACAUGGUUUAAAGCAUCUUUUUCGUUUUAUGAGCAAGAAUAUUUUCUAGACACAUGUCCUUAUAUUAGAAUAUCCUAUCUAUGUAAGAAAUGUGUGACUAAUAUAGAAAUGCAUGACUACAUUUUGAAUUUUUGACUAAAUAUAAAAUAUGUAAGAUACUAAUUGUUUUGAUAACACAUUUCAUUGAUACAUAAGAAAUCUUUGGAAACAAUGUAGUAUGACAGUUUAUAUUUUAAAUUACCCUGGGACAGCAUUUUAUUUUUUCAGAGUAUGUGGAAAUGCAGCAUUUCUACUAUAAUAUUAUGUAUGUGUUUAUAUAUUAAAAGGCAUAUGAAUUUUCUAAUAAAUAAACACUGCAGUAAAUGUCAGAUUUUACUUAAAACAAAAAGGUGUAGUAGCUUAAUGGAAGGAGACAUGAGGAAGGUUUGAGACUAUCUGUGUUUACAAGGGCCAGGGGCAUUAUCAUCUGAAGCUGCAAGUAGAGAAAAGAUUACAAGCUUUUUAAAAAAUGUGCUGAUCUGAGAGAUGUAGGCUCAGCUCGUUGUUUUGUGUUGCUUUGUUUUGUUUAUUUAUAACUUUAUUUUUUUUAAAAGAAAGAUCCCAGUUAACCUUGCAAUAAACACUUCUAGGUGGAAGGUUGAACGCAUAAUACUGAUUCCUUCCUAGCUGGCUGCUGUUAGUGUACUUAGCUUUUUGUUGCUCUUGUUAAUGAGGCAAAACAUUAAUGACCUGGGAAGAAAAUCACAUAUGAACCAGUGCAGCUUAGGCUUUAUACUGAAAUUCUUUCUCCAUCUACCAGCUGCCUAUGAGCUAAUUCAUGUUACAGGAACACAGGAUGUAGCCUAGCCGACUGUCCCUUCUAUUGCAAGAAAAUUUGUUCAGGACUUAGUGACCAAGGCUGUUUCCUAAAGCAAGAAAAGUCUGGCUGAGGAAGGGUGCAUAUUGGAACAUGCUUCUUUGCAUUGCUUCCACAUCUUUUCCUGUCACUUUCUUUCUAUAAAAGGUUGGUAUCAGUGGGGCUAUUGUUUAAGCACAUUAUUCAGUAUGGUUAAGUCAAAAGGUAUAUUUAUUUAAUAGCAUUAUUGGUGACACAAAACAUCAUCUGCUGUCAUCAAGUCCUCAGUAUUACUGAGUGUAUAUAGGUGACUUCAUACUCUCUUAGUGGAUUUGCAAACUAAUCGUGGUGAUUAAGGUAGAUUUUCUAUACUUUGGAAUUGACUUUUCAUUAACCUGUGUGAUGGCCUCACUGCCAUUGACUUCACAUAAGUAGCACCAUUUUAUAGUGAUAUAUCAAUUAACAGCCCCCUUGGGACAGAGGUUCCUUCCUAAUAAAGUUUCAAAUAAUCACAUUUAAACAUGUUUUAACUUUUUGUUUUGACAUAAAAUUAAAGGCUGUAAAAAUAUUAUGGAGAGUUCCCAUAUAUCCCCUAAUAGUUUUUGAGCUUUAUUAAGGUAAAAUUGACAAAAUUUUAAGAUAUUUAAAGUGUACACUAGGGUGAAUUGAUAUAUAUGUAUCCAUGUGAAAGGAUUUUUCUCCAUAAGAUUGAUUAACAUGUCACCAUUUUACCUUGUCCGUGUGUGUGUGUGUGUGAGAGAGAGAGAGAGAGAGAGAACAUUUAAGUUCUCUCAGCCAAUUUCAAUUAUAUAAUAGAGUUCCUGUCAUCACCAUGUUAUACAUUAGCUCCUCAGACCUUAUUCCUUUUUUUUUUUUAAAGGCUAGGGGUUGAAGCCUAUGCCACAGCCCCUGCAACGCCACAUCUGCAAGCUCUGCUGCAGCUCACAGUUUGAACCUGCAUCCUCAUGGAUACUGGUCGGGUUCUUAACCUGCUGAGCCACAAUGGGAACUCCCCUUAUUCAUCUUAUACCCACCAAUAUUAACAUUAUAUACAACUGUAGUCCAGUUAUGAAGUCCAGAAAAUUGACCUUGAUACAAUACUGUUAACUAAUCUAUAGACCUUAUUUGAAUUUCACUAGUUUUCCCACUAAUGUCCUCUUUCUAGACCAAAAUCCUACUUAAGAUCCUGUAAUUCAUUUUUAAUUUUCAUGUCUUUCUAGUCUCUUCUAAUCUGUGUCAGUUCCUCCAUCAUUCUUUGUCUUUUUUUUUUUUUUUUUNNUUUGCCUUUUCUAGGGCCGCUCCCAUGGCAUAUGGAGGUUCCCAGGCUAGGGGUCGAAUCGGAGCUGUAGCCACUGGCCUACACCAGAGCCACAGCAAUGCAGGAUCCGAGCCGCAUCUGCAACCUUCACCACAGCUCACAGCAACACCGGGUCCUCAACCCACUGAGCAAGGCCAGGGAUCCAACCCGCAACAUCAGGGUUCCUAGUUGGAUUCGUUAACGACUGCGCCACGACGGACACUACUCUUUGUCUUUUUUGACCUUGACCCUUUUUGAAGGGUUCUGGCUAAUUAUUUUGCGGAAUGAUCCUUUUCAGUGUUUGAGGGUCAGUCUGUCUGCAUUGCUGUGAUGGCAUUUGCUCGGGAAGCCGAAGCCACGGGAACAGUUGGGGAGGUGGAUGAGACAGGGUCAGAGGAGAAGGAUAUUUUCAGGAACAGUUCUUUUUGGUUUCUUGGGACCACAUACUUGGGUCAUGACUAAGAGGUUCCAUGGCUUCUAGAAUUCCACACAGUCAAGUUGAUCGAUGCUAGGAAGCAAAAGGGAGAGCUGUGCAGAUGGGGGAAAGGCUGUAGUUGCUAGCAAGGGUGGAAGGGAAGGAACUAAGGCUAGGUCACAGAUUAUAGCAUACUGAGCCAGCAUUCAGUUCUUGGGCAGAAGGCUAGGGAGAAGGAUUUGUCCUGUAAUAAAAGCGCUGCGUGUCAAGCAUUGUGCUAGGCGCUCUGUAUGUGCCAUUUUAAAUCUCAUAACACUAUCUGGAGAUAGUUACUAUUUUUGUGGGUGGUAGACCUAUUUUUUAAUUUAUUUUUCAUUGAGGUAACAUCGGUUUGUAACAUACAAGUUCCAUAUGUACAACAUUAUAUUUCUACUUCUGUAUACACUAAAUCUUGUGGAAAGAGUUAUUUUUAACAUGAUAAAACUGAGAUUUAGCAAGUAAAUGGCAAGAAAAUGGCAGAGCUAAAAUUUGAAUGCAGGUCUUUUUGACUCUAAACCAGUAUCGUAUGAUACAGUAGGCAUAUGUGGCUACUGAGCCCUUGAAAUGUGGCUACUGCCACUUGUUAAAAUAAUAGUGUUUGGGUAUAUCCAGUCAAAUAAAAUAUAUUAUUACAAUUAAUUUCACCUAUUCAUUUUCCCUUUUUAUUGUGGCUAGUAGAAAAUUGGAAAUUACCUAUGUGACAUUAUGUUUCAAUCGGACAAAUGCUGUGUCUAAACCUUUCUUCAGUCUACACUGCUGCUUUCCUGGAGUGUGUAUGUGUGAACUAAGAUGAGACCCUAAAGCCUGAGGUAGGAAACAUACUAAGGUACUUGCUAUGAAACAAAGCACACUCUCAAAGAUAGGUAACCACUGCGUUGGUAAGAGUGUUGGGGUGAUCAGGUCCAAAGGCAAAGGUAAAAGGAUUUGUAAUCUACAAAGAGGAAAAAAAAAUUAACCACAAUAUUUUUUUUCGUAAAGCUGAAGUCCCUUUAUUUUUAAAAAUUUAUUUCUUCUUUAUUAUUGAAAUACAGUUGAUUUACAAGAUUGUGUUACUUUUGGGUGAAUAGCAAAGUGAUUCAGAUAUAUAUAUAUAUGUGUGUGUGUGUGUGUGUGUGUGUGUGUAUUCAGAUUAUUUUCCACUAUAAGUUGUUACAAGAUAACAACUGUGCUAUAUGGUAAAUCCUCGUUGUUUAUCUAUUGUAUGUAUAGAACUUUUUAUCUAUGAAGGCCAUACUCCUAAUAUAUUUCUUCCUACCUCUCUUUCCCCUUUGGUAACCAAAAGUCUGUUUUCUAUGUCUGUGACUCUUUUUCUAUUUUGUAUAUAGAUUCAUUUGUAUUAUUUUUUAGAUUCUACAUAUAAGUGAUAUCAUAUAUUUGUCUUUCUCUGACUUCACUUAGUAUCAUAUUCUUUUUUUUUCAUUUUUUAAAUUUUAUUAUUUUUUUAUUACUCAAAUGAAUUUAUCACAUCUGUAGUUGUAUAAUGAUCAUAACAAUGUGGGAUGGAAAUCCUGUGAAAUUAGUAUCAUAUUCUUUAGAUCUACCUGUGUUGCUGCAAAUGGCAACUUUGCAUUCUUUUUAAUGGCUGAGUAAUAUUCCAUCACAUCUAACUAUCUAUCUAUAAAUAUAUAUAUAAUUAUAUAUAUUAUCUAUUGGUGGGUAUUUGGGUUGUUUCCAUGACUUGGCUAUUGUAAAUAGUGAUGUUAUGAACAUUAGGGUGCAUGAUCUUUUCAAAUCAGUUUUCAUCUUUUCUGGAUAUAUGCCUGGGAGUGGAAUUGCUGGAUAGUAUGGUAGCUCUAUUUUUAAAGGAACCUCCAUACUGUUUUCCAUAUUAGCUGCACCAAUUCACAUUCCCAUCAACAGUAUACAAGGUUCCCUUUUCUCCACACCCUCUCAAGCCUUUAUUAUUUGUAGACUUUAUCUUGAUAGCCAUUUUGAUUGGUGUGAGGUGAUACCUCAUUGUUUUGAUUUGCAUUUCUUGAAUAAUUAGUGAUGUAUAACAUGUUUUCAUGUGCUUCAAAACAGUUUUUAGUAUUUAUUGAAUGUUUAUUAUUUUCUAGUCACUGGGCUGAGUUCCAUGUUCAUUUUUAUUUAAUCCUUAUUAAAAAUAACCCAGGAAAGUAGACCUGUUGUUAUUCCUAUUCUAUAGAUGAGAACACUGAGGUACAGAGAGGGUAAGUAACUUGCUUAAGAACAUAUAGUUGGCUGGCAAAUUGAAGAGCAAAGAUUUAAACGGCUUCCCAUCAAAUCUUGUUAAACAAUAAAGCUCUAACUAUUGUGGUGAUGGUUUGCUUGAGGACACUCGCUCUUAGCAAAGAAGUCAUGCAGGCUCUAGUGUCUCUACAUCUAUCAGAUUAUCCACAUUUCUGUAAUGAAAUUUCUGAUAUAAUAUUUCCUGAAAUGUGGUCUCUUCAAUAAUAUCAAUAGUGAUAAUACUUUAAUAUAAAUAUUAGUGUGCAUAUAAUAUUGACUGUUGGUUUGCAUCAUGCUAAAGUAAUUGCCACUUUCUAACUGUGAUGGCUACAUCUCCAGCAGUAAAUAUGAGCAAAGAGUUAUGAAGAUUUGAGCCAAGGAAAUAGAUGAAAUAGAAUAGAGUCUUUGGAAAGAAAGAAAAAGAAAGAAAGGUGCUAGUUCUUUGUGUCUUGAAUGCUUGUAAAUCUUUAAAGGUCCUUUGACCCACCAAGGGAAAUUAAUUGCAGUCUGCUAAAACACGAAAUCCAUGUUUUGAAACAAAUGCCCAGGGCAAUGGUAAUACCGAAUAAUGACCUAUAAUUGUAUUAAAUGUCAGUUAAUCUGUUGGGCUGGGAGAAUAUCAUUGUAAAUCCUCAUCUAUUCUAUCUAUACUUACUCCUAAAUUUUUUUUUUUUUUUUUUUUUUUGGUUUAGAGCCAAAUAUUUUUUGAGUUUUCAAUUACCAUUGUACAUUUCAGGAACAUAAAUUUAGAGAAAACAUGACUUUCAAAGUAAGACUUUAUAGGUAGAAAGAAGUACCUAGGUUUUUGGUUUUUGUUUUAAAUUAAUUGACAGUAAAAAUGCUGGAGAGUGAAAUCCUGGGCUGCAGUUUGUUUUGAUGGGAGAUUUAGUUUUUGGCAUUUUCAAUUACCCAUAAUGAUUUGCAUUCUUUACUAAGUGUAUGUACAAAUGAUACUUAAAAAAAUGACAGUAUAAAUAUUAUUGCUAUUAUUUGAUAUAAAUUAAACUGCUUUUAUAAAUACUCUUCAGAGGCAUAUAAAAAGUUUUGGUCCUCUUAAGGUAGUCCUUAACAGCAAUUUCCUUUCUUGAGUUGGAUAAGCUACCUUCACAAUUUUUAUACAUUUAAUUAUGCAAUGAAACAUUUUCUUAGUUCAGAGACAAAUUAUAGCUUAAAAAUGUUUCAGUGAUCAUAAAUAUCAAUUUGAAUUAUUGAGACUUUAUGGUAAUGUACCUAUAGGAGAUAUCCAUAGCUUCUGCUCAACGCAUUGCAUAAAUCUCAUAUCCUUUGAGAGAUGACUAGAAGUUGUCAAAGAACAAAGUUAUACAGGCAGCAUUCUAUGAAAUAGUGGGUACUUAAAGUACUUAAAAAAAAAAUUCAAGACAGCACUUAAAAAAAAAAAGUUCAAGACAGCACUUACAAAGAAGGCGCUCCCAAAUGUCCCAUAUACACAUUAUAUGUUAUGGGUAUGGAUUCACAUUGAACUUUAAGGAGAAGCAUGUUGAAUAUGUUUAAAUAAUAAUUUUAUCAGAAAUACUUGAAAAAUUGAAAUAUUUGAAAAAUUUAAGAAGUAAGCAGCUUAGCUUUCAAACAGAAAAAUAAAGUAGCCCGUAAAUAUGUCAACCUAUCUUUAAUAUUUUUGGAACCAGUAAGAUAUGGAUAUAGGCAUAAAGAGAGAGCCACUAGAAUCAAUCCAUAUCUGAUUUCCACUUUCAGGUAUGAUAGCCUACUUUAUUUGAAGCUAAGGCCCAUACUGAAAAAAUCAGAACAUGGUGUUGAAAAGAAUACUUAAAGGGAUUGUAGUACUACCAAGGGGGCAGAGACCCCAGAGUAAAGAAAAACAUGUUGAGGUGAGCCCUGUAUUCAGUGACACUUUUCUCCUUGGAUUAUUUGGCCCUUUGUAAACAGCACAGGCCAUGAGGCUGCGAAGCAAAGCAGUGGUCCCUAAGAUGAGAGAUGCUGAGCAUGAUUUUUGGCAGUUUCACAAACAAGAAUUCAGGGAGGGAGAUGCAGGACCCUGGUAAAACAUUCUAAACUUUUAAUUGGGACCCCCGAAGAGCUAAAUCCUAGGAGUUAGAACUAGAAAUAGACUAUAAAGUUACAAAAACUGAAAUCAGCUUCUGAUAAACUCAAUUGUGAUUUGCAGGUGAUCUGCCUUUAACUGUCUGCCCUUGCCAGAAGCAAGAGACAUCAUGCAGAGUCUCUAUAAGUUUUAUACACAGCACCUGGCAUUCUAUAAAAAAAUUACCAUGUAUAUCACAAGCCAGGACCAAGAUUAAAAAAAAUACGAAACAAGAAAAAUAGCAACAGUUUCAUAGUGUUCUAGCUUUUGGAAUUAUCAGACAUGGACUAUAAAAAUAAUCAAUGCAUUAAAAAUUGAAGAUGGAUUUUAUUAGUGAGUCAGAAUCUAGAAGAACUGAAAGGAAUUCUAGAAAUGAAAACUAAUAUAACUGAAGAACUCAAUAAAUGAGUUUAAUAGUAAAUUCGACACAGCUGUGGAGAGGAUUGUGCACUGGGUGAUAAGUCAGUUGGAAAAUAUCUAGGCUGUGGUAGGAAGAAGCAUUAUCUGAAUAGAUAAAGGCCAAGUGUGUUCUAGAACUCAUGAAAGAUAUCAACCUACAGAAUCAAGAAGUACUGCAAAUCCUAUCAGGAUAAUACAGUGAAAAACCAUAAUUAGGCUACGUGGUAGGUAGUCAGACCACUGAAAACCAAAGAAAAA